rnacentral:tRNA from 1 species
CAAAUCACUUUGAGGAGAAAAUUUCGUUUACAUUGAAAUUAUUGUCGUGCAAUUCGAUAUGAUUUGA